UAGGGGUACGGCUGGAAAAACCGCCGUGCAACCCAAAGGUGUGACGCAUACCGAACUAAAGUAGGGAAAUGUGUGAGCCGGCUGCCGAGAAAAGCCGCUAUUGUUUGUACUGUACCCGUACCGUAAACCGACACAGGUGGAUGAGGAGAGAAUCCUAAGGCCGACGGAAGAAGCAUUGCUAAGGAACUCGGCAAAAUGACCCUGUAACUUCGGGAGAAAGGGUGCCUCGAAAGAGGCCGCAGAGAAUAGGCCCAAGCAACUGUUUAGCAAAAACACAGGUCUAUGCAAAACCGCAAGGUGAAGUAUAUGGGCUGACGCCUGCCCGGUGCUGGAAGGUUAAGGGGAGAUGUCAGGAGACGAAGCAUCGAACUUAAGCCCCAGUAAACGGCGGCCGUAACAAUAACGGUCCUAAGGUAGCGAAAUUCCUUGUCGGGUAAGUUCCGACCCGCACGAAAGGCGUAAUGAUUUGGGCGCUGUCUCGGCAAUGCAUCCGGUGAAAUUGAAGUGCCAGUGAAGAUGCUGGCUACCCGCGCCAGGACGGAAAGACCCCAUGGAGCUUUACUCCAGCUUGAUACUGGGAUUCGGUAUUGUAUGUACAGGAUAGGUGGGAGGCUGAGAAAUGGUGACGCCAGUCGCCAUGGAGCCGCUGUUGGGAUACCACCCUUGCAGUACUGGAUUUCUAACCAGCAGCCGAGAUCCGGCUGGGGGACAAUGUCAGGUGGGGAGUUUGACUGGGGCGGUCGCCUCCGAAAGGGUAUCGGAGGCGCUCGAAGGUUCCCUCAGAAUGGUCGGAAACCAUUCGAAGAGUGCAAAGGCAGAAGGGAGCUUGACUGCGACACCGACGGGUGGGGCAGGUACGAAAGUAGGACUUAGUGAUCCGGUGGUAUUAAGUGGGAAUGCCAUCGCUCAACGGAUAAAAGCUACCCUGGGAUAACAGGCUUAUCACUCCCAAGAGUUCACAUCGACGGAGUGGUUUGGCACCUCGAUGUCGGCUCAUCGCAUCCUGGGGCUGUAGUAGGUCCCAAGGGUUGGGCUGUUCGCCCAUUAAAGCGGUACGCGAGCUGGGUUCAGAACGUCGUGAGACAGUUCGGUCCCUAUCCGGCGUGGGCGUAGGAUAUUUGAGAGGAGCUGACCUUAGUACGAGAGGACCGGGUUGGACUGACCUCUGGUGCACCGGUUGUCAUGCCAAUGGCACAGCCGGGUAGCCAAGUCGGGAAGGGAUAAACGCUGAAGGCAUCUAAGCGUGAAGCCCCCCUCAAGAUGAGAUAUCCCCCGCAUAAGCGGUAAGACCCCUUGAAGACGACGAGGUAGAUAGGGCAGAGGUGGAAGUGCAGUAACGUAUGGAGCUGACUGCUACUAAUAGGUCGAAGGCUUAAC
rnacentral:rRNA from 1 species